rnacentral:rRNA from 1 species
AUUUGCCUACGGGGGGCAGCAGUGGGGAAUAUUGCACAAUGGGGGAAACCCUGAUGCAGCGACGCCGCGUGAGCGAAGAAGUAUUUCGGUAUGUAAAGCUCUAUCAGCAGGGAAGAAAAAUGACGGUACCUGAGUAAGAAGCACCGGCUAAAUACGUGCCAGCAGCCGCGGUAAUACGUAUGGUGCAAGCGUUAUCCGGAUUUACUGGGUGUAAAGGGAGCGUAGACGGACUUGCAAGUCUGAUGUGAAAAUCCGGGGCCCAACCCCGGAACUGCAUUGGAAACUGUAUAUCUAGAGUGUCGGAG